GAUUAUCCGUAUAUAACAUUAGCUACGACAGUAUUAUAUAUGGAUUUUUGUCCGUAUGUAAUCCGUAUAUAACCAAAAAUUAUAUACGGAUUUUAGACCUUAUAUACGGAUUUGGGCGGUAGAUAAUGACGUUUUUUCUUGUAGUGAACUUCCUCCAGAGAACUUCAAAUGAGAUGAUUUUUUUUGUUGGAAGGUAGACUCAAAGAGCUUUCAUUUGACUAUAAGUACGUAUUUUUUGGACCUUUGAGUUGAAUGUAGUGAAAUCUUCAAAAUCGUAUACGUUUACUAAGCUUCCUAGAUGUUUAGGUCAUUGACCCAAAUAUAAGGCCUAAAGAAAGAAAUAUGUCCAUAUUUACAAAGCUUAAGAGAAGAAAAUCAAGAUUGAACACCAUCUCCAAAAGAGUAAAGUCCUUCUUCUUCUUCCAUCCUCCUAAUCCUAGUUCAAGUUGUAGCUCUUUGGAUGGAUUCCCACCAAGCUCCUUAGAUGGUUUUCGUCAAAACGUGUUUUUAACAUAUUAACCAAUUAAUCUACAAAGGAUAUGUAAUGAUAUAUUAAUUGAUGGAAUUUAUUGACAAUCAAUUGAUUUUGCCAAUUAAGUUAAAUGAAACGAUUAAAAGUUAGAAUUAAUCGACUAAGUAUUUUAGUGUACACAUCCUCUAUUUUAAGACCUCUACUCAAUGUACGGUCUUAGACUUUUGAAAAGACUUUAUGAAAAUUCUUUUGUACCUUUCCAUUUUAGAUUACUGAGUUCUUGAGAAGGAUUAAAUGGGUGUCAAGGGUGUUGAUUGCCUUCAUGAUUCAUUGCUCUGAACCAAGGUGAAUGUGUGUGGAGAGUUAACAAAAUGCCCAUGUUUGAUUGUUUCUUAUUUUCUCUAUUGUAUUGAUUAUGUGUUGUUGAGUGUUAUGGUGUGUCCAGGUGAUAAGCACUCAAUAUAAGUUAAUUGUAAUAAUAUGACACUUAUCUUGUUUCGAUUAUGUUAAAUAUCUAUGUUAAUCACCAUAAUUUUACUUGUUUUGCAGGUUUUGAUGAAUUUUAGAGUGAAAGUUGAAUUAUUGAGAAAAUAGAGAAAUUUUGAGCAAAAUACAACAAACUAAAUUCAGCGUUGCUGCUACGUGGAAUCUAAGGCUUGAGCCACACAAAGAAAACCCACCAUGGAGGAAAACCUCAAGCUUUAGUUGAGGCUUAAGCCAAGAAGAAUCCUUCACCUAGAAGUAAUCUUAGUAGGCUUCACCAUAGAAACACAAGUCCUGAGUCAUAGAGGAAACCCACCUUGGGGGAAACCUCACAGUUGGGCCGUGGAAGCCACCGUUGAAGCCACAAUGUUAGUGUCUACAAAAAAAAAAAAAAAUUCUCCUCUAUUUUCGAGAGCUUUUUGGAGUUUCCUCCAUGCAUUACCUUAUUUUCAUAUAUUAUGAGGAGCUAAAUAGGUGUUGAAUUGAGAUGUUGAAACUCUCUUGUAUUUGGUACUAUUUUUAUUUAUGAAUGUUUGCUUUUGAUUACAUGUUUGUGAAUUACUUCAUACUUGUUGGAUGAACUGAUCACUCAUCUUAUUUCACUAGAUUGAGAUUAAGUGAAAACAAGUUUCAAGUUCUGGUCCAAUCAAUUAUCAUGUAUGUUUUAGAUGCUAGGAAUAGAUUUAAGCUUACAAUUGGAUAUACAAUCCUAAU
rnacentral:lncRNA from 1 species